rnacentral:lncRNA from 1 species
CUUAGAAGUCAACUGCUUAUUUUUCUAUAUGCAUUUCAGUCCCUGAAACAUCUCAUUAUCUCUCUUCAUCUUUACUCUUUUUUUCUUACUAUACUACUUUGUAAUAUCCUUUCAGGGUGCAUACUAUUGAUACUUAUAUCAGCAUUAUAAAUCUGUAAUGGAUAGAAUUAUAGAUUAAACCUUUGCAGAAACUUGUGGGGGAUCUAAAGGAAGAUGAAGAUGAGUGUCUGGGAAGGAGUUUGUGAGCAAGGAUAGAGUUGGAAUGAGGUGGAUUACAAUCUAAAAGAAAGUCUGGAAGCAAAUUUUUGUCUGGUACCACAUGUAACUACCCAAAGAUAAUAUAAAUUCUGCCUAUGUCUUUCUUCAAUCCUUCUUUCUACUUCCCCAUAGAAAUAUAAAAAAAAUUCAGUUUGAUUUAACUAGUCCCAUGUCCUGAAAUGUAUAAUAACCUUCCCAUAUCUUUUCCUUUAUUCUAAACAGGAACUUUCUAUUAACAAGGAAACAAUGUCUGCUUCACUAUUUCUAAGGAUUCUUUGUGAUUCCUUGAGACUAUGUCUGGUUCUCCUUUAAGAGUUGAAGAAGAAUGGUCCUUACCGAGCCAUCCAUAUUUCUCCUGUUCUGCAUGUUUUCCAGGGGACAGUGUGAGAAAUGGGAUGCCCAUGAAAUUAUUGUAUCUCAUUCAUGUGCCAAACUGUAUCUCCAGAUGCUCAUUGAGAAUAGAAGCAGAAGAAUCAUUACCUUCAGUGACCAGUCCAGGAAUAAACAUAAAGAAAAACUUUAUAUGCUCUCAGUUUUUUUUAUUGGUACAUUUUAGAUAUACAAUACAGUUACAUUCAUCAUUGGGAUCUUGUACCUUUACAUGACAUAUCUUCGUUCUUAUUUUUUCCGCAUUCCCCUAGUCUCCCUUUCCCCUCCACCCUUCAUUAUUUACAAAGACCUUGUUUCCAUUUUUUCCUUUACUUCUUAUUUUUCCUUCCCUUUUUACCUUUCCCCUACCCCUCCCAUUUGCCUAACACCUUUAGACCUUUUCUUCUUAUUACAAAAUAUCUAUUACAUAAGGUAGCGAUGCUCUGCUUCCCUAUCUCUCUUUAUCCUAGAGACAAUCAUUUUUCUUCUGAUAGUUACCUCUAUAUUUCUAAACAUUUGUGUUGUACUGUAUGUCUUUCUUAAAUUAUAUUUAUUUGGCUUCUGGCUGUUAGGCAUUAUAUUUUGACUUCCUGUUAUAAUAUAUAGGGACUUAGCUCACUUACAUUCCCGUCUUUCUUUUAUCCAUCAUAUUAAUUUUCUAAACUUGUAGAAUAUUUGUAUUGCAUCUUGGAAUAACCUAGAGGGAAUGUUUGGAUAUCUAUAUUGGAUCUGAUAAGUGAUUAUUGCUUUUUAAAUAGAUAUAAAAUUACAACCAGGUAUAGUUGGCACAUGCCUAUAAUCACAGCAC